AUGAACGUCGGAUGGCUCAAGGAUGUCAAUGAAAGGGUUGUCAUGGAUCAAGUGUGGCUAGGCUUUGCCAUUGCUCACUCGCUGUUGAUCGGCUACUUCUUAACCUUUAAAGUCCCGAACCAGGAUGUUUACAUGGUCAUCGUCUUCAACCGCUACUGCGUAGAGAUGGUCAUCAAGUGCGGCGAGCAGGAGCACGAGCCAAACCUUGCCAUGAUCGUUGCGCGAGGGUUUAUUAAUCUCCAUUUCACUUCGCUCUCCGUUGAGACCAAAAGGCCAUCAGAGACGGACGAACUUGCAUCGGCGACGAUGGCUCGACAUGGCUGCUUGGUGCAGCCCGCUACCGGCGUGAAGGGGCGCCAAGCCUGUGCGGCGGAUCUCGACCUCAGCGCUGCUCCUUCCGACACGGGAAGGAGGGAUCAACCUCCAGUGCAUGGCGCGGUGAUGCCCCCGGCAGCGGCGCUCCGCCCAGGCCGGCAUCCACCCAAGAAACCGAUUUAG
rnacentral:rRNA from 1 species